rnacentral:rRNA from 1 species
GGUUAAGCGACUAAGCGUACACGGUGGAUGCCCUGGCAGUCAGAGGCGAUGAAGGACGUGCUAAUCUGCGAUAAGCGUCGGUAAGGUGAUAUGAACCGUUAUAACCGGCGAUUUCCGAAUGGGGAAACCCAGUGUGUUUCGACACACUAUCAUUAACUGAAUCCAUAGGUUAAUGAGGCGAACCGGGGGAACUGAAACAUCUAAGUACCCCGAGGAAAAGAAAUCAACCGAGAUUCCCCCAGUAGCGGCGAGCGAACGGGGAGCAGCCCAGAGCCUGAAUCAGUGUGUGUGUUAGUGGAAGCGUCUGGAAAGGCGCGCGAUACAGGGUGACAGCCCCGUACACAAAAAUGCACAUGCUGUGAGCUCGAUGAGUAGGGCGGGACACGUGGUAUCCUGUCUGAAUAUGGGGGGACCAUCCUCCAAGGCUAAAUACUCCUGACUGACCGAUAGUGAACCAGUACCGUGAGGGAAAGGCGAAAAGAACCCCGGCGAGGGGAGUGAAAAAGAACCUGAAACCGUGUACGUACAAGCAGUGGGAGCACGCUUAGGCGUGUGACUGCGUACCUUUUGUAUAAUGGGUCAGCGACUUAUAUUCUGUAGCAAGGUUAACCGAAUAGGGGAGCCGAAGGGAAACCGAGUCUUAACUGGGCGUUAAGUUGCAGGGUAUAGACCCGAAACCCGGUGAUCUAGCCAUGGGCAGGUUGAAGGUUGGGUAACACUAACUGGAGGACCGAACCGACUAAUGUUGAAAAAUUAGCGGAUGACUUGUGGCUGGGGGUGAAAGGCCAAUCAAACCGGGAGAUAGCUGGUUCUCCCCGAAAGCUAUUUAGGUAGCGCCUCGUGAAUUCAUCUCCGGGGGUAGAGCACUGUUUCGGCAAGGGGGUCAUCCCGACUUACCAACCCGAUGCAAACUGCGAAUACCGGAGAAUGUUAUCACGGGAGACACACGGCGGGUGCUAACGUCCGUCGUGAAGAGGGAAACAACCCAGACCGCCAGCUAAGGUCCCAAAGUCAUGGUUAAGUGGGAAACGAUGUGGGAAGGCCCAGACAGCCAGGAUGUUGGCUUAGAAGCAGCCAUCAUUUAAAGAAAGCGUAAUAGCUCACUGGUCGAGUCGGCCUGCGCGGAAGAUGUAACGGGGCUAAACCAUGCACCGAAGCUGCGGCAGCGACGCUGAUGCGUUGUUGGGUAGGGGAGCGUUCUGUAAGCCUGCGAAGGUGUGCUGUGAGGCAUGCUGGAGGUAUCAGAAGUGCGAAUGCUGACAUAAGUAACGAUAAAGCGGGUGAAAAGCCCGCUCGCCGGAAGACCAAGGGUUCCUGUCCAACGUUAAUCGGGGCAGGGUGAGUCGACCCCUAAGGCGAGGCCGAAAGGCGUAGUCGAUGGGAAACAGGUUAAUAUUCCUGUACUUGGUGUUACUGCGAAGGGGGGACGGAGAAGGCUAUGUUGGCCGGGCGACGGUUGUCCCGGUUUAAGCGUGUAGGCUGGUUUUCCAGGCAAAUCCGGAAAAUCAAGGCUGAGGCGUGAUGACGAGGCACUACGGUGCUGAAGCAACAAAUGCCCUGCUUCCAGGAAAAGCCUCUAAGCAUCAGGUAACAUCAAAUCGUACCCCAAACCGACACAGGUGGUCAGGUAGAGAAUACCAAGGCGCUUGAGAGAACUCGGGUGAAGGAACUAGGCAAAAUGGUGCCGUAACUUCGGGAGAAGGCACGCUGAUAUGUAGGUGAGGUCCCUCGCGGAUGGAGCUGAAAUCAGUCGAAGAUACCAGCUGGCUGCAACUGUUUAUUAAAAACACAGCACUGUGCAAACACGAAAGUGGACGUAUACGGUGUGACGCCUGCCCGGUGCCGGAAGGUUAAUUGAUGGGGUUAGCGCAAGCGAAGCUCUUGAUCGAAGCCCCGGUAAACGGCGGCCGUAACUAUAACGGUCCUAAGGUAGCGAAAUUCCUUGUCGGGUAAGUUCCGACCUGCACGAAUGGCGUAAUGAUGGCCAGGCUGUCUCCACCCGAGACUCAGUGAAAUUGAACUCGCUGUGAAGAUGCAGUGUACCCGCGGCAAGACGGAAAGACCCCGUGAACCUUUACUAUAGCUUGACACUGAACAUUGAGCCUUGAUGUGUAGGAUAGGUGGGAGGCUUAGAAGUGUGGACGCCAGUCUGCAUGGAGCCGACCUUGAAAUACCACCCUUUAAUGUUUGAUGUUCUAACGUUGACCCGUAAUCCGGGUUGCGGACAGUGUCUGGUGGGUAGUUUGACUGGGGCGGUCUCCUCCUAAAGAGUAACGGAGGAGCACGAAGGUUGGCUAAUCCUGGUCGGACAUCAGGAGGUUAGUGCAAUGGCAUAAGCCAGCUUGACUGCGAGCGUGACGGCGCGAGCAGGUGCGAAAGCAGGUCAUAGUGAUCCGGUGGUUCUGAAUGGAAGGGCCAUCGCUCAACGGAUAAAAGGUACUCCGGGGAUAACAGGCUGAUACCGCCCAAGAGUUCAUAUCGACGGCGGUGUUUGGCACCUCGAUGUCGGCUCAUCACAUCCUGGGGCUGAAGUAGGUCCCAAGGGUAUGGCUGUUCGCCAUUUAAAGUGGUACGCGAGCUGGGUUUAGAACGUCGUGAGACAGUUCGGUCCCUAUCUGCCGUGGGCGCUGGAGAACUGAGGGGGGCUGCUCCUAGUACGAGAGGACCGGAGUGGACGCAUCACUGGUGUUCGGGUUGUCAUGCCAAUGGCACUGCCCGGUAGCUAAAUGCGGAAGAGAUAAGUGCUGAAAGCAUCUAAGCACGAAACUUGCCCCGAGAUGAGUUCUCCCUGAGACUUUAAGUCUCCUGAAGGAACGUUGAAGACGACGACGUUGAUAGGCCGGGUGUGUAAGCGCAGCGAUGCGUUGAGCUAACCGGUACUAAUGAACCGUGAGGCUUAACCUU